UCCUACGGGAGGCAGCAGCAAAGAAUCUUCCGCAAUGGACGAAAGUCUGACGGAGCGACGCCGCGUGAGCGAUGAAGGCCGCAAGGUUGUAAAGCUCUUUUCGGGGGGAAGAAUAAUGCCGGCAGGGAAUGGCCGGCGGAUGACAUCAACCCCGGAAUAAGGUCCGGCUAACUACGUGCCAGCAGCCGCGGUAACACGUAGGGACCUAACGUUGUUCGGAAUUAUUGGGCGUAAAGGGCGCGCAGGCGGCCGCUCAAGUCUGGUGUUAAAUGGUCGGGCUCAACCCGAUCAUGCGCUGGAAACUGGGUGGCUUGAGUUCAGGAGGGGAUGCCGGAAUUCCAGGUGUAGGGGUGAAAUCUGUAGAUAUCUGGAAGAACACCGAUGGCGAAGGCAGGCAUCUGGCCAUGAACUGACGCUGAGGCGCGAAGGUGCGGGGAGCAAACAGGUUUAGAUACCCUGGUAGUCCGCACAGUAAACGAUGUGCACCAGGAGUCGGGCAGCAGUGUCCGGUUCCGUAGCAAACGCAAUGAGUGCACCGCCUGGGGAGUAUGCUCGCAAGGGUGAAACUCAAAGGAAUUGACGGGGGCCCGCACAAGCGGUGGAGCAUGUGGUUUAAUUCGAUGGUACGCGAGAAACCUUACCAGGGCUUGACAUAUCCAGCGAUGGGGCCGCGAGGUCCCAGCCCUUCGGGGGCUGGAUACAGGUGCUGCAUGGCUGUCGUCAGCUCGUGCUGUGAAGUGUUGGGUUAAGUCCCGCAACGAGCGCAACCCCUGCCAUCUGUUACUAACAGGCAAUGCUGAGGACUCAGAUGGAACUGCCAGUGACAAACUGGAGGAAGGUGGGGACGACGUCAAGUCAUCAUGGCCCUUAUGUCCUGGGCCACACACGUGCUACAAUGGCCGGUACAGAGCGCAGCGAGGCCGCGAGGUCAAGCGAAUCGCAAAAAGCCGGUCUCAGUACGGACUGGAGUCUGCAACUCGACUCCACGAAGUUGGAAUCGCUAGUAAUCACGCAUCAGCAUGGCGUGGUGAAUACGUUCCCGGGCCUUGUACACACCGCCCGUCACACCAUCCGAGUCGGGGGUGCCCGAAAUCGCCAGUCUAACCGAAAGGGGGACGGUGCUGAAGGUACGCCUGGUAAGGGGGGUGAAGUCGUAACAAGGUAGCCA
rnacentral:rRNA from 1 species